GUCAUGUUUACUGGUUUACUGUUAUUUUUCGCUGCUGACCGAAAAGUCGCAUCGGCCGAUGACUUUUCGUGGUUUUGCCGUCCGCUGAUCGACAGCGCGUAGCUAUGUGUUCCACGGCGACGCCGACGCCAGCCCCGGCGAACCGACACAAAAGGCGACGCGCCGUCUGGGCGAUUCGAUGAGUGUUGUGACGAACAAAGGCGACCCGACUGCGAGCUGGACUUCAUGAAAGGAGCGUACUAACUAAUCAGCGUAUCACUACAGUUCGUCUAAAGAGAAAAGCUCAGGCGGGCGCCGUCAAAAUUCUCUCUUUUCCCACGUCCUGCGAUGCGUCUACGGACCCUUUCCAGGCAGAGGGGAGUGCCAAAUUAAAGGAAGCCCGGAAACCGCCAGUCCGACGAAGCCUGCGCGACGGAGAAGUCGUCGGGCAUGUCACGUCUCGACGUUAGGCCUACUGCCACCAGACGCGCUGACUACUUGGACGGCGGUGUGUACUCCGUUCCCGGAUUACCAUGGUUUUUCCGAGAGCCCUCGGCCCUUGCCAGCUGCUGAUGUUCUGAAGCGUCGAAAUUUCCCCCCGAACAUCGGCCAGCCAUGGGAAAUUGCCUGAAGUCCAUGUCGUCGGAUGACAUCUCCCUGCUGAGGGAUAAUCAAGGCACAAGGGACUCGUCAGCUGAUCAGCUCGGACCCCCGCCGCCGUACCAGGAGACGGUGUCCAUGCCGGUGUACUACCCAUCGCCCAACGUGAGCCGUCCAGCCUGCCAGCUGACUGAGGAAGAGCAGGUGGUGAUUGCCCAGCGGAUGGGCCUCAUCCAGCACCUUCCCACGGGCCUCUAUGAUGGCAGCAAGAAAAACAGAGAGUGCGUGAUAUGCAUGGGAGAGUUUGCAGUGGGUGAUGCAGUCCGGUUCCUGCCCUGCAUGCACAUCUACCAUACGGACUGCAUCGACGACUGGCUGAUGCGCUCCUUCACGUGUCCCUCGUGCAUGGAACCGGUGGACGCGGCACUGUUGACCACCUACCAGACCAACUGAGGGCUGCCCCGCGACACAUCGCGCAUGCGCACUUGUUGGAAAAAUUCGCACGUAUGGUUGCAGUGCUGCUGCUUUAGGUCUGUGUUGAUGUGGGACGUGUUCAGCUACCAGGCAUCGUCUCUGAACUGUGUGCUGCUGCUGCUGCUGCUUCUACUGCGGAGUGCUCCGCAGCUCUACAUUGAGUGAGCAAAAUUUGCGAGCGCCAACGUCGUGCAGGAACUCCUCGCCUCUGUCGCACGCAGAGUGCGAGAACAGACGUUCCUCAGACUCAUCCGCUGCUUUCACCAGCAAUGGUUUCGCAGGCGCACCAGAAGGAAAGAGCGAGCGGCGCUCUCAAAGUCGCGGGGCACGCAACGAUGCCGGCCCGCCGACGCCGACCCUGCGGGCUCGGAGAAGCCUCCCGCCGUCAUUAAAAAUUGUCCGGCCAGAAAAGUGCACCGUUACAAGCUUUUGGCUUGAGGACUUCUCAGUGUUGGCUUUUCUAGGCUUUCUUUCCCCCUAGCCUGGGUGUGGAUAUGUAUAUAGAAAAUGUAUUAGUAGUGGUUAGUUGUGAUGCUCGAAGGGUUAAUGGAAGGCUCUCUUUUCCCCUACCUUCCUUAGUGCGCAUUGCACCGACGUAACCUUGCAUUGGAGCGUUGAUAUGAAAUGCCUUUUUUUUUUGUAUUUGUCGAGAGUUUGGUUCUGUUUCUUUCGGUCGUUCCUCUGGUUUGUUGUUUGUCGAGAACGCCGGUGCACUAUGGGAGAGCAGUGGUGGUGACACGGGCAAAAACACUCCCGUGUCUGGAUUGAUAGUCCUUUGAGUGAGCCUAGUUUUCAUCUGCUUGUGAUAAGUUGGCAUCUGUGCCUGUGUCGGAAGCCGCGAGCAUUGCCGUUUCAGGCCAAGUCUGGAAGAAAGAAAUUGGUGCUGACUGGGAUUUUGUGUACGUUUUGUGAUCUGUCAGUCGUAUUGGCCAGCUUCGAGUGUUUUUAACGGAAAGCAGCUUCGUAUGACCCGCACGCAAUAUCUCCUGUCGCGUUUGAAAAGAGGUCUUGAUCUGUCUGGUCACUGGUCCCUCUUUUUCCCCUUUGUUGAAGGUCUCAAUUAUCUUGCGAAAUCUUUCUUGUUGAUCGCUAAUGCGAGGACAGAGCAAAUGUUAUGAACAAUGGCUUUUUUGAUGGCUGGGUAAUGGAGUGUUUGUGUAUGUUUACGUUGUAGAUGAUGAAGCGGACAGCAAAGGAAUGCUUUUGCAGUGUUUGUGACAGUACGAAGCCCAAAGUCACGUUGCGCGCUACAGCGCGAUGGUGGUACUUAUCGCAUAUCGCUGUCUUCUUUGUUGUGAUGUAAGAAUCGGUGCUGCACCGAGUUCUGCAACAAGCUGGGUGUAGUAGCGCAGCGCCGUACGUGCGUGAGCGCAAACUUGGCUCGAGGAAUGACAGCGUCGAUCCAAAGGGAGCAGAUAGGCAGGGAAAUGUUAAUGCGUAUUCGACCUCUACAGGACUGUUCACCCUACAUGUCCUUGAAUAUUUAAUCUAAAAACGAAAACGUUAACAACAGUCACUUACACUUCUCGCUUGUUUGUGCCCAGGCCUGUUGUAGCAUAUCACAGUUUAUUUGUAGGUGGCCCUCACUCCAUUAAGCACCAUAUAUCAUCAUCAGUUUAUUUGUUGAGCAGUGCAUUCUUUAACUAGUUUAUCUGAGAAGGCGGGUUAGCUGUCUGUGAAGGCAGUCCCAGUAGCCGAACGAAACUGUGAAGUGGUCUGUGCAGUGAUUGCAGAAUCAAAACACAGUUCUCAUUGCAAAAAUUGUUGAUAACACUGCUAGCUGUUACAAAUAGCCCACUUGCCGGUUUCAUAAAUGACAACUGGUCACAGUAGUACUUUGUAUGUGAAGGAUUCCUUCUCAAAAUGUGAUUUUUUUCAAUUGCUUCUUUUUGAACACCAUAUACUACUAUGGUGGUCAAGGUGUUCCCAGUGGCCAAUAGUUGUACAAUUUGAUGCACUGCAAAAUACUUCCGGGAUGCUACCUGGGCAUAGACAAACAAGACUUGUGAACAUUUUUUUUGUUUCUUUACAUAAGGCCAAGUGUUUAUGUGCAUUUGAUAUUAAAACACAAGACUGAUAGUAAGGUGUUCACACUGCACCACAGCGUUGUAACUACUGCACUUUAGUUCCUUGACCGAAACUGGCCCUUCGCGUUUCGCGCUUAAUUUGUGAAUUGUAGCGAGUCCGAGAUUUGGUGAUGGUGAGCGACGCGAUUAGCUUAGAGUGAAGCUACCGAGUCCGCCUGUACGUAAUUACAGCACACUGCUUCAGUGUAGCAGUUGUCUGCACAUUUGCGUAGCUUUUGAAACCUUUGCUGUACCAGGGUUUUUCUCCACACUACAACUACAGCAUGGUCACAGGUCCAGUCUUUCUUAGCCAGCCAGUUUAGCUUCCCCGCGAAUGGGUGUUUGGCAGGUAGAUUGAGGCAGCUUGAACAUCUAUAAAGGAAACGGGCGACUCUUACGUAAAGAGCCUCCUUCGUUUUACGGCCGUUUUACGACUUAUUUUCUGCCCACAUCUCGAGGAUGUGGACAGCAAUUUCAGAGUCCGUGACGGAAUGCCAGCCCACUAUGGAAGUUCACCAAUGAACAACGGGCGUUGAACGAAGUGUUUGCGAUAUUUUUUUUUUUUUUUUCAGCACCCCCAAUAUCGUUGUGUUGUUUUUACAGACAAAGUUGUCCAUCGUAGACGCACAUUUCACUUUUUUUUUUAUCCCUAGACGCGGUGGUGUAAGAAACGCAUUCGUACUUACUGGUAGCCGAAUUCUCUCCUUCGCAGUUUCUUUUUUGUCUGUGAGAUACUUCAUAGACUGCUUUUCAUCUGCUUUUGUGUUGUCUGAGCCCGUUUUUUUUUUUUUUUUUUUUUUUUUGCUUGGGGGUUAGGCAAACAAAUUGAAAAUUUGAUUGAUUGAUUUACGGAGUUGCAAGGAAGAUGUCAGUGGUCGGUCAGAUGUACUUACCACACUGGACAGUUGUGCUAGUUUUUGAAAGCGUGGAAAGCUCACUGUUUUUCAGUUUGUGCAUUACCUUGUUUAGAGCUUGUAUAACAUCGGAAUGCUCCUUUCCGGCUUUUAUUCUCGGAUGCGUUGGGAAAACAAACAAAAAAGCAGCAGAGAGCCUUUCAUCGCGCAAAGUAAAAUAUCUUGGCCUAGUCAUUAGCAGUGAUGGAACUUUCUUGUGACGUUUUCAUUCCUUCUCGGGACGUGUAAAUAAAAUAAAAUGUGCUUGACUGGUGUUGUCAUUCAAGUCUUUCGAUGACCGCUACAAUAAAGCUGUGUAUCUAUUUCGUUUCAUUCAAAA